AUUCAGUUAAUGAGUCCCGAAUAGGACGAAACGUGCGUCCUGUAU
rnacentral:hammerhead_ribozyme from 1 species